CAGAAGGAUCCAUGUUUGUCAUGGUAAAGCUGGAUACUUCACUUAUGGAAGACAUUUCUGAUGAUAUGGACUUCUGCAUUAAGCUGGCGAGAGAUGAAAAAGUCAUUACUCUCCCAGGAUGUACUAGGUCUCAAAAAUUGGCUCAGCAUAACCUUUUCCAUUGAUCUCCCUUCUCUUAAAGACGCUAUGGAGAGGAUAAAGUCCUUUUUCAAGAGGCAUGCCAAGCCACAGAACUUGAAAUUGGAUCCACGCCUAACAAGUGCAGGAUAUCUUCCAGGAAGCAACCUUCAAUCAUUAGAGUUCCAUGAAUCUAGCGAACUCGACAGCCAAAAGCAAAACAUUUGAAAGUUUAAAAGAAGUAAUUGCAACACUCAAUGCUGGGAAAGAGAAGUGCCCAUCGGGAGUGGCUGCGUCCAGUUUUUUUUUUCUUUUAUCGUUUAUCAUUUCCAUUGAUAUGUCAUUUUCUGGUUUAUAGUUCCUCAGUUUUUUCACUCUUAAUCACUAGUGUCCAGGGUGAUUACCUCUUCCAGUAUGAACGUAGAAGAGUAAUGGCAUAUGAACUUAUUUUCAGUAAAAAUUAUCUAACGGUUGCAAAUAUCUAUUGCCACCAAAACCCAGUCCCUUUUUUAUAUCUCAAUAGCUGUUAUAUAAGUUACCAAUUGCAGCAGACACAUAUGGAAAGGCGUCAAUUAUUGCACCUCUAAUAACAGGAUUAUGGAGAACUCGAUGAAGAAUGCUGCAAGGAUAGAUUAAGGGUUGAUUUGUGCUUGGCGACUGGUGUUUGAGAAGUACAUAUGGGAUUGUACACUCAAUAAACAUUCAUCCUUCACGAAAGCAAUC